rnacentral:snRNA from 1 species
UUAUUUUUAAAUAUUCUCUAAUAAAAUUUAAAUCUGUUCUUAUCAGUUUAAUAUCUGAUACGUCCUCUAUCUGAGGACUAUAUAUUAAAUGGAUUUUUGGAACAGGGAGAUGGAAUAGGAGCUUGCUCCAUCCACUCCACGCAUCGACCUGGUAUUGCAGUACCUCCAGGAACGGUGCACCUCCC